UUCUUUGUUUCUUUUUUUUCUGAAAUCUUUUGUGAUUUUAACAUAUUAGAUUUCUGAACUUUUUUUUGUUUCAUUCUCUCUAUCUCUGUCCCCCUCUUUUUCUUGUAGGGUUUUUAGGAUCUCCUUGGGGGUAUGGUUUCGUCCUUCCAGUUCUCUAGCAUUCUUGUUUUUUUCUGCAUCUUUUCUUGUCUUGGUUUGGCAGUGUCAAUGGAGAAGAAGUGCAAGGGUGAGCCUUUCCGAUGUUGUGGACGACAACUUCCUGGCGAAGAUUAUGAUGAUUAAUUUAUCGACGGCGAACUUGCCCCAGGACUCGUCAUCAGCGAUCAGGUCGAUUGGGCCGCCGUUCUCACGUCUUUACAAUGACAUCCUCCAAAGAAGAAAGCCGUUUCUGUUGCAUAAGCAAAAACAAGUUUCUCAUGUGCUGGAGAAGGACCAAAUGCUCGUUCUGUACUGGGAAAUUAGGACAGAGCGUGAAGAAGAAUGACAAGACAUCCAUCUAUUUGCAGCAUUCCUGUUCUUUCCGUUUCAACAUCUGGGCCUUGCGGCACCCGACCAUUGUAGGCAGCAAGGAUGGAUUUUCACCAUUUUUUGUGUGCUCUCCAUAGAAUUUAACUUCUACUGUAAGAGCAAUUUCAUGAUUGGAUGGAGUGCAGGUACACGAGUUCACAGGAGGUACAGCCGCAUCUUUGCCAAUUGUCAUGAUCAUGCAUCUUCAUGAGGCGAGUGGAGGAUCUUGCUGAAAAGCAUCAGCACAAAGAAAGGCGUCUCCUCUACCCGAGCAGAUAUAUUCGGUUGCCCCAGUUCUAAAAUUCCUUUUCUGCAUUCUUUCAGUUCUCGUUGCUUUCCUUGUCUUUUUUUUUUUUGGAAAUCUAAGAAAAUUUCGUUGGAGUAAUUUUAUAGGUUGCAUCUGUCAUAAUUCAUUUUCAUUGUUUGCAGGCUUUAACUUGUGCACGUGUUCCCAUGGUGAAGCUGUUACAGGAAUUUCGUAUGACACGUGUAAACAAUGCUCUAGCUGUUGUUAAUACAAAGCUUCUUCAUGAUUAUGCACAAAUAGAUGUCAGACUUGGACAGUGCUGUGGAGGCUGUUUUGCUUAACUUCAUAAAUGGAACAUCCAAAGCCACUGCUUCAAGGGACAGCUGGAGGUGUGUCAGCAACUCUUCAGCUAGUCCAAGCACUGAACCAACAACCUCAAGUGCAUACUAUGGUGUGUGCAUGAGAUGCAAGGCUUCCUCUUUCGUUUCUCUUAUCUACUCAUUUUGUUGCUCUUUGGUUAUGAAUAAAACACAUACAGGACAUAAAGUGAGAUAAACGCUCUAGGAUGUGCUUUUAAGAUGUGGAUAGGUUUAGACUUUGUUCCAGGUUUUGAUUAGCUAAAGCAAAUGCUCUGGCCAGAAGGGGCAAUUUUUGAAGAUUCUCGUACAACGUGUGUUCAGAUUUUCUUGUUGUUUUCUUUAAGUGUAAGCAAUAGGUCUUAGAUGUGAUUAUUGUUUUUAAUCAAGUCUUAAACAGGUAAGGGUCCGGGUCUUUUGGUGCUUUCUACCUUGUUUUGUUUUGAGUAGCUUUAGUUUAUUUUUCUCUACAUGUUAGAAUUUAGCCUAUGUCAAUAACAAAAGCUUUCAGUCACCACUUCACUAUACACAGAAGGCCGUGGAUCUCCAUUCCAAGGAGAUGGAGCAUCCCUCUACUUCCCUUUAUAGUGGUGGAUCAUGGUCAGACAGCGGUAAGUGAAGCGUAACAGAAACAGCCUUUAUUGGUGCGAUACUGUGGCUUACUCUUGAGUCUGAUGUGCCCUGCUUAGAAUUUGGACUUUAGUCUUUAAAUUAUGUUCCUACCGAUGCUACAAACUUGCUUCUAUCCAUUAGUUCUAGCUGUGGGAUUUCCGAUAUUUGAAGGGCAGAGGUAUCUGUAUAUGCCUCUCUUACAAGCGUUUGCAACUUUGGACUUCAAUUCCGCAAUGUUCAGUUCUGUUCGUGUACUUUGCAAAAAAGAUUUUGCCUAUUUACUUGUUCCAGGCUCUCGAUUGAUGCUGAUAAUGUUCAGUCUCGGGGUUGAAACCAAGCGACUCGAAAGAUCUUCUUCAAGCAGAUGGCUUCCUAUGUUGAAGCUAUAGAGGCAGCUAAACUUCAGCGAGCCUCUGUAAGAUGCAAGAGGUGAUCAAUGAUGUAACAUAGGAUCUUUUGUAAUAUCUUUGUAGGUUCUAUAGUAAUCUAUGUUUAUCCUGCUCAGUUUUUCCAUGAAUCGGUGGAUAUUUGCAUA